CUGCGGAAGGAUCAUUACCGAGUGAGGGCCCUCUGGGUCCAACCUCCCACCCGUGUUUAUCGUACCUUGUUGCUUCGGCGGGCCCGCCUCACGGCCGCCGGGGGGCAUCCGCCCCCGGGCCCGCGCCCGCCGAAGACACACAAACGAACUCUUGUCUGAAGAUUGCAGUCUGAGUACUUGACUAAAUCAGUUAAAACUUUCAACAACGGAUCUCUUGGUUCCGGCAUCGAUGAAGAACGCAGCGAAAUGCGAUAAGUAAUGUGAAUUGCAGAAUUCAGUGAAUCAUCGAGUCUUUGAACGCACAUUGCGCCCCCUGGUAUUCCGGGGGGCAUGCCUGUCCGAGCGUCAUUGCUGCCCUCAAGCACGGCUUGUGUGUUGGGCUCUCGCCCCCCGCUUCCGGGGGGCGGGCCCGAAAGGCAGCGGCGGCACCGCGUCCGGUCCUCGAGCGUAUGGGGCUUCGUCACCCGCUCUGUAGGCCCGGCCGGCGCCCGCCGGCGAACACCAUCAAUCUUAACCAGGUUGACCUCGGAUCAGGUAGGGAUACCCGCUGAACUUAAGCAUAUCAAUA
rnacentral:rRNA from 1 species